UUAAGCGACUAAGCGUACACGGUGGAUGCCCUGGCAGUCAGAGGCGAUGAAGGACGUGCUAAUCUGCGAUAAGCGUCGGUAAGGUGAUAUGAACCGUUAUAACCGGCGAUUUCCGAAUGGGGAAACCCAGUGUGUUUCGACACACUAUCAUUAACUGAAUCCAUAGGUUAAUGAGGCGAACCGGGGGAACUGAAACAUCUAAGUACCCCGAGGAAAAGAAAUCAACCGAGAUUCCCCCAGUAGCGGCGAGCGAACGGGGAGCAGCCCAGAGCCUGAAUCAGUGUGUGUGUUAGUGGAAGCGUCUGGAAAGGCGCGCGAUACAGGGUGACAGCCCCGUACACAAAAAUGCACAUACUGUGAGCUCGAUGAGUAGGGCGGGACACGUGGUAUCCUGUCUGAAUAUGGGGGGACCAUCCUCCAAGGCUAAAUACUCCUGACUGACCGAUAGUGAACCAGUACCGUGAGGGAAAGGCGAAAAGAACCCCGGCGAGGGGAGUGAAAAAGAACCUGAAACCGUGUACGUACAAGCAGUGGGAGCCUCUUUAUGGGGUGACUGCGUACCUUUUGUAUAAUGGGUCAGCGACUUAUAUUCUGUAGCAAGGUUAACCGAAUAGGGGAGCCGAAGGGAAACCGAGUCUUAACUGGGCGUUAAGUUGCAGGGUAUAGACCCGAAACCCGGUGAUCUAGCCAUGGGCAGGUUGAAGGUUGGGUAACACUAACUGGAGGACCGAACCGACUAAUGUUGAAAAAUUAGCGGAUGACUUGUGGCUGGGGGUGAAAGGCCAAUCAAACCGGGAGAUAGCUGGUUCUCCCCGAAAGCUAUUUAGGUAGCGCCUCGUGAAUUCAUCUCCGGGGGUAGAGCACUGUUUCGGCAAGGGGGUCAUCCCGACUUACCAACCCGAUGCAAACUGCGAAUACCGGAGAAUGUUAUCACGGGAGACACACGGCGGGUGCUAACGUCCGUCGUGAAGAGGGAAACAACCCAGACCGCCAGCUAAGGUCCCAAAGUCAUGGUUAAGUGGGAAACGAUGUGGGAAGGCCCAGACAGCCAGGAUGUUGGCUUAGAAGCAGCCAUCAUUUAAAGAAAGCGUAAUAGCUCACUGGUCGAGUCGGCCUGCGCGGAAGAUGUAACGGGGCUAAACCAUGCACCGAAGCUGCGGCAGCGACACUAUGUGUUGUUGGGUAGGGGAGCGUUCUGUAAGCCUGUGAAGGUGUGCUGUGAGGUAUGCUGGAGGUAUCAGAAGUGCGAAUGCUGACAUAAGUAACGAUAAAGCGGGUGAAAAGCCCGCUCGCCGGAAGACCAAGGGUUCCUGUCCAACGUUAAUCGGGGCAGGGUGAGUCGACCCCUAAGGCGAGGCCGAAAGGCGUAGUCGAUGGGAAACAGGUUAAUAUUCCUGUACUUGGUGUUACUGCGAAGGGGGGACGGAGAAGGCUAUGUUGGCCGGGCGACGGUUGUCCCGGUUUAAGCGUGUAGGCUGGUUUUCCAGGCAAAUCCGGAAAAUCAAGGCUGAGGCGUGAUGACGAGGCACUACGGUGCUGAAGCAACAAAUGCCCUGCUUCCAGGAAAAGCCUCUAAGCAUCAGGUAACAUCAAAUCGUACCCCAAACCGACACAGGUGGUCAGGUAGAGAAUACCAAGGCGCUUGAGAGAACUCGGGUGAAGGAACUAGGCAAAAUGGUGCCGUAACUUCGGGAGAAGGCACGCUGAUAUGUAGGUGAAGUCCCUUGCGGAUGGAGCUGAAAUCAGUCGAAGAUACCAGCUGGCUGCAACUGUUUAUUAAAAACACAGCACUGUGCAAACACGAAAGUGGACGUAUACGGUGUGACGCCUGCCCGGUGCCGGAAGGUUAAUUGAUGGGGUUAGCGGUAACGCGAAGCUCUUGAUCGAAGCCCCGGUAAACGGCGGCCGUAACUAUAACGGUCCUAAGGUAGCGAAAUUCCUUGUCGGGUAAGUUCCGACCUGCACGAAUGGCGUAAUGAUGGCCAGGCUGUCUCCACCCGAGACUCAGUGAAAUUGAACUCGCUGUGAAGAUGCAGUGUACCCGCGGCAAGACGGAAAGACCCCGUGAACCUUUACUAUAGCUUGACACUGAACAUUGAGCCUUGAUGUGUAGGAUAGGUGGGAGGCUUUGAAGUGUGGACGCCAGUCUGCAUGGAGCCGACCUUGAAAUACCACCCUUUAAUGUUUGAUGUUCUAACGUUGGCCCCUAAUCGGGGUUGCGGACAGUGUCUGGUGGGUAGUUUGACUGGGGCGGUCUCCUCCUAAAGAGUAACGGAGGAGCACGAAGGUUGGCUAAUCCUGGUCGGACAUCAGGAGGUUAGUGCAAUGGCAUAAGCCAGCUUGACUGCGAGCGUGACGGCGCGAGCAGGUGCGAAAGCAGGUCAUAGUGAUCCGGUGGUUCUGAAUGGAAGGGCCAUCGCUCAACGGAUAAAAGGUACUCCGGGGAUAACAGGCUGAUACCGCCCAAGAGUUCAUAUCGACGGCGGUGUUUGGCACCUCGAUGUCGGCUCAUCACAUCCUGGGGCUGAAGUAGGUCCCAAGGGUAUGGCUGUUCGCCAUUUAAAGUGGUACGCGAGCUGGGUUUAGAACGUCGUGAGACAGUUCGGUCCCUAUCUGCCGUGGGCGCUGGAGAACUGAGGGGGGCUGCUCCUAGUACGAGAGGACCGGAGUGGACGCAUCACUGGUGUUCGGGUUGUCAUGCCAAUGGCACUGCCCGGUAGCUAAAUGCGGAAGAGAUAAGUGCUGAAAGCAUCUAAGCACGAAACUUGCCCCGAGAUGAGUUCUCCCUGACCCUUUAAGGGUCCUGAAGGAACGUUGAAGACGACGACGUUGAUAGGCCGGGUGUGUAAGCGCAGCGAUGCGUUGAGCUAACCGGUACUAAUGAACCGUGAGGCUUAACCUU
rnacentral:rRNA from 1 species